ACUCAAAUGAAUUGACGGGGGCUCACACAAGCGGUGGAGCAUGUUGCUUAAUUCGAGGCAACGCGAAGAACCUUACCUAGUCUUGACAUGCACGGAUUAACUCCCGGAAACGGGAGCCACACCCGCAAGGGUGGAACGUGCACAGGUGCUGCAUGGCUGUCGUCAGCUCGUGCUGUGAAGUGUCGGGUUAAGUCCCUUAACGAGCGCAACCCCUGUCGCUAGUUGCUAACGGGUCAUGCCGAGUACUCUAGCGAGACUGCCGGUGUCAAACCGGAGGAAGGUGGGGAUGACGUCAAGUCCUCAUGGCCUUUAUGACUAGGGUUGCAAACGUGCUACAAUGGUGCGUACAAAGCGAUGCAAGACAGCAAUGUGGAGCAAAUCGCAAAAAACGCACCCCAGUUCGGAUUGCAGGCUGCAACUCGCCUGCAUGAAGCCGGAAUCGCUAGUAAUCGCGGAUCAGCUACGCCGCGGUGAAUAUGUUCCUGAGCCUUGUACACACCGCCCGU
rnacentral:rRNA from 1 species